GUAGUGGAGUUCAUCAGGAGGACUAGCAUUUGACCCCAUCUGACCUUCACUUCCUUCAGCUCCAUCUGCCCAGAGGCCAGAGAAACUUUACUGUGUGUUGUGAGACUGUUAUCAGUGCUCAUGUCGGCAGGAACUGCAUCUAAACCCUGCUGUAAGACUUCAAUAUGUGAGUAUUAACACGCUUCAGGGUGCUUGACUUCUGUAUCCGGAAUUGCUUUCUAGCAGAGAGUGAGAAAGGCGAGACAGAGGGUUAGAGAUUUGCUGU
ensembl:lncRNA